rnacentral:rRNA from 1 species
CGGACGGGUGAGUAACGCGUGAGAAUCUACCUUCAGGUGGGGGACAACAGUUGGAAACGACUGCUAAUACCGCAUAAGUCGAGAGAUGAAAGAUUAAUUGCCUGAAGAUGAGUUCGCGUCCGAUUAGCUAGUUGGUGAGGUAAGAGCUUACCCAGGCGAUGAUCGGUAGCUGGUUUGAGAGGACAACCAGCCACACUGGGACUGAGACACGGCCCAGACUCCUACGGGAGGCAGCAGUGGGGAAUUUUCCGCAAUGGGCGCAAGCCUGACGGAGCAAUACCGCGUGGGGGAUGAAGGUUUGUGGAUUGUAAACCCCUUUUCUCUAGGAAGAACACAAUGACGGUACUAGAGGAAUAAGCAUCGGCUUACUCCGUGCCAGCAGCCGCGGUAAGACGGAGGAUGCAAGCGUUAUCCGGAAUUAUUGGGCGUAAAGGGUCCGCAGGUGGGUGAUCAAGUCUGCUUUUAAAGAGUGGAGCUCAACUCCAUAGAGGGAGUGGAAACUGAUUAUCUAGAGUAAGGAAGGGGUAAGAGGAAUUCCCAGUGUAGCGGUGAAAUGCGUAGAUAUUGGGAAGAACACCAGCAGCGAAGGCGUCUUACUGGUCCUUAACUGACACUGAUGGACGAAAGCUAGGGGAGCGAAAGGGAUUAGAUACCCCAGUAGUC